rnacentral:rRNA from 1 species
AGUGAACGCUGGCGGUAGGCCUAACACAUGCAAGUCGAACGGCAGCACAGUAAGAGCUUGCUCUUACGGGUGGCGAGUGGCGGACGGGUGAGGAAUACAUCGGAAUCUACUUUUUCGUGGGGGAUAACGUAGGGAAACUUACGCUAAUACCGCAUACGACCUACGGGUGAAAGCAGGGGAUCUUCGGACCUUGCGCGAUUGAAUGAGCCGAUGUCGGAUUAGCCAGUUGGCGGGGUAAAGGCCCACCAAGGCGACGAUCCGUAGCUGGUCUGAGAGGAUGAUCAGGCACACUGGAACUGAGACACGGUCCAGACUCCUACGGGAGGCAGCAGUGGGGAAUAUUGGACAAUGGGCGCAAGCCUGAUCCAGCCAUACCGCGUGGGUGAAGAAGGCCUUCGGGUUGUAAAGCCCUUUUGUUGGGAAAGAAAAGCAGCAGGCUAAUACCCCGCUGUUCUGACGGUACCCAAAGAAUAAGCACCGGCUAACUUCGUG